UUGGUGAUGAGGGAGAGG
rnacentral:miRNA from 1 species